GCCGGCGGCCAUAGCGGCAGGGCCACACCCGUUCCCAUUCCGAACACGGUAGUUAAGCCUGCCAGCGCCCAUGGUACUGCAAGGGCAACUUUGUGGGAGAGUAGGACGUCGCCGGCA
rnacentral:rRNA from 1 species